CACCCAUAGAGGAUGCCGGCACUCAGGCAAGGGUGUUAACCCACUGCACCACAGUGCCGACCCUGACAGAGUCCAGGAUUGCACAGCAGGGUCUGCUGAGUGAGUUGUGUGGCUGAUGAAGGUGCACAAGGGACAGGAAACCAACUGUUUUCACCCCAAGCUGACAGGAGAUGACAGAAGAACACAUGGCCUGGGUGUGUCCCCAUCCAGACUAUGAGCUUCUGGAAGGCAGGAGCCAGGAUGGUCUUUCUCAGUUGGACCCCAGGACUGACUUUGCUGGAAACAAGGUGGACCCAGAAGAGUGCAAGGUGACAUGCUGGUGCCUCAGAUUCAUACAAGUCACCCACGCCCUUUUGUCUGCUGACAGAAUUCUGUGUCAUAGAAAGGAGGUGUCCGGUCCAAGGUCACAGGCUGAUUCAAGGUAAUGUGGUGCUUUUGUUGGGAUUUACUUUGCCUACAUGUUGCACAGCCUCAGGAUCAGAGAAUCAGUCUGAC